rnacentral:lncRNA from 1 species
GUGACACACAGCACUGCUACCUGCUUUCAGUGUACUGGGGAAGAGCUGGCUACUCUGUUCCACAGAGCCACCAUCUCUAUGAUGCUAGUUCAUUUAGUUUUGCAUGCAAAGUUUCACAGAAAUUCACUAGAGAUAUGAUUAAUUUCAGUGGCUGUAUCAUCCAUGAUGGAAGAAGUGUGUUUUGGAUAUAUCCGUAUAGCACACGCGCUAGAAUAAAAAAACCUUUGGGUACCAGCAGGAGCAGAGUCCAGCAUGUAAGAUACUAACUCCAGAAGAGACCACCCCUCACAGUAUUUCAGAGACUUUUGGACAUGGUACUGAGGAAUGUAUGAUGAAACUUGGUCUGCAAAAUAUCACUGUGCUAUCACAGAGGCUCUCUCUACCAAGUCUUCGGCUGAAGGAGGCUCUGCCCUUAAACCAGAUAGUCCACUGACCAGGAAGAUAGCAUUGACAGUUAUCUCAAUUGUUUGACUGUGGAUCUCCACAUCAGCACAAGCACUUGGUUUUGGCUGAAACAACACCAGUAAUUUAAGGUCCACAGAGAAUUGUGUCUAACACGAGAGCAUCAGCUGCCAGACUUCCAAGCUCUGUGGCUGGAAGCAGAGCCAGGAGAGUGCACAGGUGAGGGAGGAGAGUGCACAGGGAGGAAGAUGCUGAAGAGUACUCGGUUUAUGUCAGUGAAGAGGGAAGAGUCAGCAUAACAAGACCAAAGACCUCUGCUUUUCUUCAUCCAACACAACCAGAAACAAUAUGAUGCAAUGCUCCAAACACCAGACUUGCACAUAAAGUAAAGAUGAACAGACUCACUUGCAGCAUCAGAAGUUGGUAGUCUGAUGUACGUCCUUACAGACAGCCAAGUCAAGACCACCUGGCACCAACAAAGGCACCUAACUGCCUGCAGGAACAGGGACCUGAGAAGGGAUGGGAAGUGCACAGAGCACAGUGCAAGACAGAGGAAGAAAUUUGGGCAAGUAAUGUGACCUGGGGAAGACUGAAAUACAGAAGUAAUAUUUGUGUUCAGCACACAGGACUGUAAAAUACAUUCUUCUCCAAAGUUGGGCAAAAUUUGCAAAGUCAAUAAAAUUGGUGCCUGAAUUAAAACA